rnacentral:lncRNA from 1 species
AAGUAGGUUCCACUUUGUUUUGCAGUAAAGCGGAGAGGGGGAGAUAAUUUGACUUAAUAUGUGUUUCUACCACUCGCAGUGAAUCAGACACAUUACUAGAAAUAAACUUAUGUUAUUUGAGCCAGAAACGGAAGAAAUCAACUAACUCCUUGCCCAGAUUCGAACGCCAGAUCUUCCGAUUGCUAACCGGACAUGCUACGAAAUUAUACCACAAGAUGCGCAAAAGCAACAUUGAAGAAAAAAAUGGAAUACGAAGUAUGGAUCAGCUUAUUGCUGAACAAUAUUUAUAUUAUUUUUGGCAACCAAGCCUGGGGAAUAUUUCUGAAUGAACCACGAAAAAGGAAUGAAAACUAUAUUAUUACAAGAUAUAGAGACUGGAUGGACAAAGCACUAUGAAGAUUGAAGAAUUUCUGUAGAAAUUAUUAGCGCGAGCUGGGCAAGGAAAGUAAAUGGACUUUUUAAUCAAUCAGAUUGAAAAGUAAAAUAAUACAUUAUUAAAAAUUUAAUUUGAUGCAUAAGUCGUCUAAUUUGUUAACCAGAAACAGAUAAAGUUUGAAAGUUAACUAUUUAACACGUUGAAAGAGAUAGGGAUUCUCACAAUUCUAAUAAUCCAAUAAUUUGCUUUUUAUCCAGAAUGUUUUUCAACUAUAUUGACUUCCCUUAGCGGAUAUAUAUAGUAAUUUUCCACGUAACCGACACCCAGUUAACCGUUAAUAUCGAAAUAACAAUACUUUUGAAAUAUAAAUAGGAAUCCAAAAUUUAUGAUAAUGAGAUAAUAAACUAUAUAAUAAGCCUUAAAUGUUGAAAACAUUUGUGUAGGCCAAGGUAACAAGGCACAUCCUAUUAAUAAAUUGUUCAGAAUAUAAAGAUAAAUCAUUGGUUCCUUUAUUUGCCUCGAUGCGUGAACUCUCUCUCUCUCUCUCUAUAUAUAUAUAUAUAUGUACAGUGGAACCUAGCAUCAUAAAAGCCUCAUUUGACCACCAAUUCGGUUCAAGAAGAAAUUAUCUGAGUAGAAAAUGCCUUGAAUAACGAACAAUAUCUCGAGUUCUAAACUCUCAAUUCGGCAAUAUAUAGUUUUGAAAUGUGUUUUGAUGUGAACUAUACUACAUAAUUGACACUCGUGUCCUUCUGGAAGCAUCGUUUUAACAUUUUUAAUCUUUUUGUGAACAAAAGCUGUCAGAAAGAUACUUACAAGACAGCUGUUUCAACCUGUAGUAGUAGCAGGCCAGUUUGGAUUACCAGGAGGAGAUUUUGUCCACGUUGCCAUUUUGAACGUUUUUUCAUAUCUAUGAUACUGGGUCUCUAAGCAAAAGCAUUGAUUAGGAAAAUAACAUUGAACAUGGGGAGAAGUUAAAGAUUCACAAAAAUUAUCCCAACAAGAAAGAACUGCAGCAACUUCUGAGGCAGUAACAAAAGACGGCUGUGGAAGAAAUGUCUUCAGAAGAAAAGGAAAGAACAAAGAUGAUCUUAGUUCUCAGAUUCGUAAAACACGUGCAAAAGAGGAGUGGAAAGCUACAGCAUAUGCAUUUCCAAUGACAAUGCCAUGUCUUACUUUAGAAACAUUUUAAAACAUUGGCAACAUGGAAAACUAUUGGAAAAACUGUGAAUGAAACAGAAGCCCCAUGAUCAGUGAGCAAGCAAAGUCUAAUUGAAAUUUUUUAAAAAAGGGGAGGAGGAUAAAAGAAGAUAUCCCUAAAAGAUGCUUUCAUGGUAGGGAAUUAUGCAUCAAAACACCAACAUCUUGCUCAUCAUUCUCCACUUAUGCUAUUUUCUUUUUGCAUUAAAUCACUAACAUCUUCCUCAUCAUUCUGUACGUAUACUAUUUCCUUUGACAUUCUUCUUUGUACAACUGCAAUAAAAUUAAAUAAAGU